rnacentral:rRNA from 1 species
UACGAAGGGGGCUAGCGUUGCUCGGAAUCACUGGGCGUAAAGGGUGCGUAGGCGGGUUUUUAAGUCAGAGGUGAAAUCCUGGAGCUCAACUCCAGAACUGCCUUUGAUACUGAAAGUCUUGAGUAUGGGAGAGGUGAGUGGAACUGCGAGUGUAGAGGUGAAAUUCGUAGAUAUUCGCAAGAACACCAGUGGCGAAGGCGGCUCACUGGUCCAUAACUGACGCUGAGGCACGAAAGCGUGGGGAGCAAACAGG